UGGGGAAUAUUGGACAAUGGGCGCAAGCCUGAUCCAGCCAUGCCGCGUGAGUGAUGAAGGCCCUAGGGUUGUAAAGCUCUUUUGUCCGGGAAGAUAAUGACUGUACCGGAAGAAUAAGCCCCGGCUAACUUCGUGCCAGCAGCCGCGGUAAUACGAAGGGGGCUAGCGUUGCUCGGAAUCACUGGGCGUAAAGGGCGCGUAGGCGGCCAUAUAAGUCGGGGGUGAAAGCCCAGGGCUCAACCCUGGAAUUGCCUUCGAUACUGUAUGGCUAGAGACCGGAAGAGGUUAGUGGAACUGCGAGUGUAGAGGUGAAAUUCGUAGAUAUUCGCAAGAACACCAGUGGCGAAGGCGGCUAACUGGUCCGGUUCUGACGCUGAGGCGCGAAAGCGUGGGGAGCGAA
rnacentral:rRNA from 1 species